AAUGCGGUAUAGUGAUCCUCCUAGAGAGACACGUGUCUCCGAGGAGACAUGGCCCCUUUCAAACAGCCACCUCAGUUCUCUUUUACUGCCCUAUCCUUUCGCCGGGUUUCUCCUUUCAACCUUGAGAGAUAACUGACAUGGGCUUAGGAUACUCAGUCAUUCUGGAAUUCUGUAUCAGCACUGAAACAUGAGUGGGGAAAUUCUAAGAAAUUUACUUCUCUUUUUCUUUUCAUAUUUUCCUCAUUCCAAAGUGGAACUAAAUCGAGGUUCCCUAGCAACCCAGGGCUCUGUGAAGAUUCAUUAUUCUAUAAAAUCCCACCACCUUACAAACACAAAAUGUUACAAGUUGCCCAGUCACCCCGGCUUCUGAGAUGAAGAAUAUUAUUGAAGUCAAAUCUGGUGGCUAUCACACUCCAUGGAACUUGGGGCAACAUUUAGGUACCUCUACCCAGGAAAGAAUCUCUGAGAAAUAGGUGGCAGUUUCUCUAGCAGCAUAAGAAGAACCUUGAUAAGCAUCAUCCUUAAGUCCUGACAGCAGUGGAUGACUAGUCAGGAACCUGUCCAGGAGGACAUUGACAUGGAUCUGCCAGCUUUCUAAGACUUUCCCCAGAUUCAAGUCCAGUCACAUCAAGUUGCCUUAUUAAAGGGUCUGCCCACUCAAAAGGAGAAAGUGCAAAAGAUGCUCAGCAAGGAAUAUCCAGCACAAUAAGCAUUGAAGAAACAAAUGGCAACGCAAGCUUAAAGAAUUCCAAGCCAUUAUGAACUGACUCUUCAAAUAAGUGCUUAUUUUCACAUAACCAGGGAGUUUCUGGAUUAACUUCCAUAUAAGACAUAUUUAUUAAAAGAUUUGCACCCCUAUUGCUGGCACUGGGUGGACCUCCCCAAACGCUCUGCCCUUGGUGCUCUUCUGCCGGUUAUUCUCGUCCAUGACCCCAGAGCCAGGGAGAAUCUCACCAGUGCAGCCCAGGGCACUUCUGAUAACAUCUGAGCAGAGUGAAGGAGAAGAAACGCACGAGGCAGGCAUCUCAUUUAUGGAAGUGCUCCUCUGGGUCAAGCCCUCUGCCAAUAAUUUUCAUGCAUAAUGGCCCUUUCAUUCUCCCCAAAAAUUCUUCAAGGGAGGGUGAUAAUCCCAGGAUAUGGAAACAAGGAAAAGCAGACUACAAGAAGUUAAGUGACCUCCCCAAUGACCCGCUGCUCAUAAAUGGUAGUAUCAGAAUUAAAACCCAGAUGAGGCUG
rnacentral:lncRNA from 1 species